CUGAACCACUUUUCCAUUUUACCUUUUCAAUGAACACUUUUUUCAUUUUCACAUUCUCUCUCUUCAUUUUCUUCUUCACUGUUUCUCCAAUAGCCUCUCUCUUCCUCUUCUACUUUCUUCUCUCUUGUGUUGCCUGAAUCUUCCUCUUCUUUUUUCUCCCAUAUUCCUUUUCUUCAACGCUGGCUACAUGGUUCUGCGAGAAUUUUUAGAGAUCUACAAUCAAAUUUUUUCAAGGUUAUUUCAAGUUCGAUUUCCAAGUUUUUAAAUUUCUUCGUCGUCAACAACAACAAAGGUUUGAAGUGCUUAUUGAUUAUGGAGGUGUUAGGUGGAGAAGUGGAAUCAGAUUUGACAAUUCUCUUACAAUAAUUGUAUUUCUCCCUUUCAAUUUAAUAUUUAAUAGUACUUAGAAAACUUUCCACACAUAGCCCCUAUCAAAUUACUAUGCUAUAACUAGACUAUAUCUACUACUGCACUACUUUUUUUCCUUUUCAAUAAGGAUAAUAUAAUAAAUACCUAUUUACAAUAGUAUCUAAGAUAAACUAUAUUGUUGUAUAUGAUUCUCUUUCUAUUUUUUAAAUAAAUAUGCUUUACUUGCAAUUACUAAUAAAUUUAUAAACUUUUGUUUUAUAUUUAAUUUUAAUUAAUAAUUUUAAUUAUUAAUUAAUUAGAGGAGUAAAGCCUUUUCUAUGACAGAAAAAAGUAUUAACUAAUAAAAAAUAAUUACAAUUAUCAAUUUUAUUUUAUUAUAAUUAAUUAAUUUAUGAUUAUUAUAAUGACGUAUAUAUGAUCGUUGAAACACUAAAAAUGUAUUAAUAGUAAAUGUAACAUUUUGCCUUUCAACAUAACAUA